UGGGGAAUAUUGCACAAUGGGCGAAAGCCUGAUGCAGCGACGCCGCGUGAGGGAUGACGGCCUUCGGGUUGUAAACCUCUUUCAGCAGGGACGAAGCGCAAGUGACGGUACCUGCAGAAGAAGCACCGGCUAACUACGUGCCAGCAGCCGCGGUAAUACGUAGGGUGCAAGCGUUGUCCGGAAUUACUGGGCGUAAAGAGUUCGUAGGCGGUUUGUCGCGUCGUUUGUGAAAACCAGCAGCUCAACUGCUGGCUUGCAGGCGAUACGGGCAGACUUGAGUACUGCAGGGGGGACUGGAAUUCCUGGUGUAGCGGUGGAAUGCGCAGAUAUCAGGAGGAACACCGGUGGCGAAGGCGGGUCUCUUGGCAGUAACUGACGCUGAGGAACGAAAGCGUAGGUAGCGAACAGG
rnacentral:rRNA from 1 species